UCUACAAUGGCUACACUGGUCGCUACUAUCGUUUUUCCUGUUUCAGUGACGGUUGUUGGAUGACCACUGACUCUUCGCAGGGUAACCGACAAGUCUACUUGGAUGCGAAUAUAAGCCACGGCUUGACGAUUUCAACCAGCGAAGAAGCGUUGUCUGGGACAGAAGAUUUGUUGACUGUGCAAAUCUUCUCUGACGUUUGUAAUGAUGUCUGUGUGACGACGAGAGUGCCCGAUCUCUUCGAUGAUGGAACAACAUACGAGCGAAUCUUUCCCGGGGCCAAUUUUGGUGAUCCUUCUGGCCUUAUGCUUUCUACUUCCGGGUACGACAGGGCCAAGUUAGACUGG